rnacentral:rRNA from 1 species
AACGAACGCUGGCGGCAUGCCUACCACAUGCAAGUCGAACGAAGGCUUCGGCCUUAGUGGCGCACGGGUGAGUAACGCGUGGGAAACUGCCUAUUGGUGGGGAAUAACGACGGGAAACUGUCGCUAAUACCGCAUAAGCCCUUCGGGGGAAAGAUUUAUCGCCGAUAGAUGUGCCCGCGUCCGAUUAGCUAGUUGGUGAGGUAAUGGCUCACCAAGGCGACGAUCGGUAGCUGGUCUGAGAGGAUGAUCAGCCAAACUGGGACUGAGACACGGCCCGGACUCCUACGGGAGGCAGCAGUGGGGAAUAUUGGACAAUGGGCGAAAGCCUGAUCCAGCAAUGCCGCGUGAGUGAUGAAGGCCUUAGGGUUGUAAAGCUCUUUCGGGUGGGACGAUGAUGACGGUACCACCAGAAGAAGCCCCGGCUAACUUCGUGCCAGCCGCCGCUGUAA